rnacentral:tRNA from 1 species
GGGGCUGUGGCUUAGUGGCAGUGCAUCUGCUUGGCAUGCAGAAGGUAACAGGUUCAAUUCCCGACAUCUUCA